rnacentral:rRNA from 1 species
UACGUAGGGUGCAAGCGUUGUCCGGAAUUAUUGGGCGUAAAGAGCUCGUAGGCGGUCUGUCGCGUCGGCUGUGAAAACUCGGGGCUCAACCCCGAGCCUGCAGUCGAUACGGGCAGACUUGAGUGCUGUAGGGGAGACUGGAAUUCCUGGUGUAGCGGUGAAAUGCGCAGAUAUCAGGAAGAACACCCGUGGCGAAGGCGGCUCUCUGGGACGGUACUGACGCUGAGACGCGAAAGCGUGGGGAGCAAACAGG